rnacentral:rRNA from 1 species
UGUAGUCAUAUGCUUGUCUCAAAGAUUAAGCCAUGCAUGUCUAAGUAUAAGCAAUUAUACCGUGAAACUGCGAAUGGCUCAUUAAAUCAGUUAUCGUUUAUUUGAUAGUACCUUACUACAUGGAUAACCGUGGUAAUUCUAGAGCUAAUACAUGCUAAAAACCUCGACUUCGGAAGGGGUGUAUUUAUUAGAUAAAAAACCAAUGCCCUCCGGGGCUCCUUGGUGAUUCAUAAUAACUUCUCAGAUCGCAUGGCCCUGCGCCGGCGACGGUUCAUUCAAAUUUCUGCCCUAUCAACUUUCGAUGGUAAGGUAUUGGCUUACCAUGGUUUCAGCGGGUAACGGGGAAUUAGGGUUCGAUUCCGGAGAGGGAGCCUGAGAAACGGCUACCACAUCCAAGGAAGGCAGCAGGCGCGCAAAUUACCCAAUCCCGAUACGGGGAGGUAGUGACAAUAAAUACUGAUACAGGGCUCUUUAGGGUCUUGUAAUUGGAAUGAGUACAAUUUAAACCUCUUAACGAGGAACAAUUGGAGGGCAAGUCUGUAAUCG